rnacentral:misc_RNA from 1 species
GAUGAAGAACGCAGCGAAAUGCGAUACGUAAUGUGAAUUGCAAAUUCAGUGAAUCAUCGAGUCUUUGAACGCACAUUGCGCCCCCUGGUAUUCCGGGGGGCAUGCCUGUCCGAGCGUCAUUGCUGCCCUCAAGCACGGCUUGUGUGUUGGGCCCCGUCCUCCGAUCCCGGGGGACGGGCCCGAAAGGCAGCGGCGGCACCGCGUCCGGUCCUCGAGCGUAUGGGGCUUUGUCACCCGCUCUGUAGGCCCGGCCGGCGCUUGACGAUCAACCCAAAUUUUUUAUCCAGGUUGACCUCGGAUCAGGUAGGGAUACCCGCUGAACUUAAGCAUAUCAAUAAGCGGAGGA